rnacentral:rRNA from 1 species
GUGAGGAACCUACCUUCAAGUGGGGAAUAACUGCCAGAAAUGGCAGCUAAUACCGCAUGUGGUUGUCUGUUGGCAUCUUCGGACAACUAAAGAUUUAUCGCUUGAGGACGGCCUCGCGGCCUAUUAGCUAGUUGGUGGGGUAACGGCCUACCAAGGCGAUGAUGGGUAGCUGGUCUGAGAGGACGAUCAGCCACACUGGGACUGAGACACGGCCCAG